CAAGAUAUAGCAUAAAUAAUGCCCAUCACUUACAAUGAUGUAAUAGAAACUUUCUUAUCUUGA
rnacentral:tRNA from 1 species